rnacentral:misc_RNA from 1 species
UACGUAGGGGGCUAGCGUUGUCCGGAUUUAUUGGGCGUAAAGCGCGUGUAGGCGGCCUGGUAGGUCCGUUGUGAAAACUCGAGGCUUAACCUCGAGAGGCCGACGGAAACCAUCUGGCUAGAGUCCGGAAGAGGAGAGUGGAAUUCCUGGUGUAGCGGUGAAAUGCGCAGAUAUCAGGAAGAACACCUAUGGCGAAGGCAGCUCUCUGGGACGGUACUGACGCUGAGACGCGAAAGCGUGGGGAGCGAACAGG